AGAGUUUGAUCAUGGCUCAGAAUGAACGCUGGCGGCGUGCUUAACACAUGCAAGUCGAACGAGAAAUCCUCUGCUUGCAGGGGAGAGUAAAGUGGCGCACGGGUGAGUAUCGCGUGGGUAAUCUACCCUUGAAUUCAGGAUAACAUUUCGAAAGGGGUGCUAAUACUGGAUAACAUCCUGAUGGUUUAGGCCAUAAGGAUCAAAGAUAGCCUCUACAAGUAAGCUAUUGUUUAGGGAUGAGCCCGCGUACCAUUAGCUAGUUGGUGGGGUAAGAGCCUACCAAGGCGACGAUGGUUAGCUGGUCUGAGAGGAUGAUCAGCCACACUGGAACUGAAACACGGUCCAGACUCCUACGGGAGGCAGCAGUGAGGAAUUUUGCGCAAUGGGGGAAACCCUGACGCAGCAACGCCGCGUGAGUGAAGAAGGCUUUCGGGUCGUAAAGCUCUGUCAAGAGGGAAGAAAGCGGGAUAUGGUAAAACUGUAGUCCAUUGACGGUACCUCUGAAGGAAGCACCGGCUAACUCCGUGCCAGCAGCCGCGGUAAUACGGGGGGUGCAAGCGUUAUUCGGAUUUAUUGGGCGUAAAGGGCGCGUA
rnacentral:rRNA from 1 species